rnacentral:misc_RNA from 1 species
ACACUUAACAAUUGUAAUUCAUGGAUGAAAGUGAAAAACUAACGACAACUCAUUGAAAUUGUUUAUGAAAUUUUUCAUUUAAAACGAAUAUUGGAGUAUAGCCUUGUGUUUUCUCUUCGUUAUUCUUAAUUACGAACGUCGAUACAAUGUAAAUAGAUGUAAUUUCCUUUAUUUUAUCUAUAUUCUAAAAAAGAUCAAAUUGAUUUUAAUUUAUUAAACAUUUUUAAAACGGUUAAUUUAAAAACUGUGAAGAGAGAAUUUUUGAAUAAAUUAAUAAACUUAAAGUUAAUUUUAAUUGGUAAUCAAAAUAUUAUUAUUAGUUUUAAGAGGUCAAUAUCUUCUUUAUGUUUAGUUUUUUAUUAUGGGAUAAAAGUAUCAGCUCAAUGUAACUUUUAUAUAUAUAUAUAUAUUUACAUAUAUAGAAGACAUGCCUAGCUUAUGUGUAAAGUUGGGGGCAGUAGCUUUCAGCAAUUAGGGGUACCGAUAGGGGUCGCUUCUAGGUUGAAAUAUCGUUAAACACGCCCCAAGCUGUCGCAGAGUUUUUCCAAAUUAUAAAUAUCUCAUUUAUGCUAAUAUAAACCAUUUAAGAUAAAGUAGGAUUUAUAAAAGGAUGCUAUUAGUUAUAUUGUAUUGACCAGCUGAAAAAGAACCAUAAGGAGAAUGUUUUUCUGCAAUAAUACAGCUACUGACGGAAGCCGGAGAUUGUGCAAGUUUGAUAUCUAUAGUUUUUUAGUCCAUUUAGUGUUUAGUGGUAUAUUUCUGCUUGGAACAUGUUACUUGAUCUGGAAAAAUUGGAAUAAACGACUUGGUGAAGCGUGGCGGCCAUUCUCCCACACUUCCCGCUAUAUAUGUACCAUUGCUUUGAUAUAUAUUCAUGUUUUGGAAUUGGUUGAGGGAAUAAUAGCCGAUUUAGAAUUUCCUGGACGUCAGACACAUUUGCACUUGACGACGUCUUUAUCGAUUGUUUCGGUCAUUUUGUCUCUUAUUUACUACAAUCAAAUAGAGGUGAACAGAGCUAGAGGUUUCCUCUUUUUUUUGCUAUGCUAUUGGCCGACAACUAGUGCGCUAAAUACAUUGCGAGCCAUAGAAUUAUUGAAGUUAAAUCUCACUGUUAAAAAUGUGAGGUGCUGUCUAGUUUUUGCGUCAACCUUAUUACGAUAUUAUGCUGGAAUCUGGGAGGUUUAUCUCUUUAUACGGGAGAAAUACAUCUGUUGUAGAUUUAAAAGGGAAAAAUCAUUUUUCGAUAAGAUAAAAGGUCACGAACAUUAUCAUGCAAACUUUUUGUCAAGGUUAACGUGGAAUUGGAUAACACCUUUACUAGCUGGAGGUUUUAGCAAGAAAUUAAAUCUAGAAGAUCUUGGUCAAUUUUAUCCCACCGAACAAUCUGAAUCAAAUUCUCAAAGAAUGAAUGAAGAAAUGAUGAAACAAAGUUACAAAAAUGGCGGCAAAAUUAAUUUAUGGAAAUUGAUAAUUAAAUGCCAUGGAAAAUAUUUUGCAUUGAGUGGUUUAUGCAAACUGAUUGCUGAUAUGUUAUUAUUCUUUGGCCCAUUUGUACUAAAUAGAGUCGUUAUUCAUGCUGGAUUGUAUUCUGAAAAUAAAAAUUUCUUGGGAAAUUAUUCAAUGUCCUAUCCAAUUUCUUUCCAUAGAAAUUAUAGCAAUGAAUACAAUACUACCGAAGACUUUAUUACUAAUUACAUUCCACCUCAAAAACCUGUUUAUCCUACUUGGGAUUUAUUGAUGCAAAAUGGAUUUUUUCUUGCUGUUCUUGCCCUUGGAGUACAACUUAUUCAAAAUAUUUUAUGGCAAAAUCAUUUUUUCCUUGCUAUCCGAGAAGGUAUUCGCUGUAAAGGCUCCUUACAAGGUCUUAUUUAUCAAAAGAGUUUGAGGUUAACUUUAUUUUCACUAAAUGACGAUGAAUUCAGCGGAAAAAUCCUCAAUCACAUGUCGCUUGAUGCUUAUCAUAUGUAUUUCUUGUUCUAUCUUGGUAACUGCUCGUGGACAGUUCCAAUUCAAGUUGGUGUUACAAUUUUCUUAUUAUAUCAACAAUUGGGUGUUUCCGCUAUCAUUGGAGCUAUUUUCCUUAUUUUAAUUCUCCCUCUACAAAUAACUGUUGGAGGUGUGAUGUCGAAAUUCCAAAAGAAGGCCAUGCGCUACACUGAUAAACGUAUUAAACAAUGUAACGAACUACUACAAAGCAUUAAAUUACUGAAACUUUAUGCAUGGGAGUUGGUUUUUAGGGAUAAAUUAGAAGUCACGAGAAUGAAGGAAUUAAGAAUGAUGCUGAAAGCAGCGUGUAUGAGAGCUAUUUCACUUGUUCUUACAGAGAGUGCACCAAUAUUAGCUAUUAUGGUAACAUUUCUUCUCUACUCUCAAAUGUCUGGAGAAUAUCUGACUGCUAAUAAAGUAUUCUCAGGUGUGGCUCUGUUCAAUUUACUUCUUAUACCGUUGGUUGUAGUGACAAUGAUUGUUGGAGCAAUAAGUCAUGCAAAAGUUAGUUGUAGAAGAAUUAACGAUUUUCUUGAAAUGAACGAAGUUGAAAAGGCAAUGACAUCCUUCUCUAAUGCUGAUCAUCAAGCAACGGCUGUACAAGUUGCAGAUGGUAAUUUCAGCUGGAAAGUAUCAGUGGAAGAUGACAACGAGGAAAUUGAAAAGCAUUUGAGUGAUAUCAACCUGUCGAUACCGGAAGGAAGUUUGACUAUUGUUGCUGGUCCAAUAGGAAGUGGAAAAUCAUCACUACUAUCAGCCAUCCUAGGAGAAAUGACUACAAUUUCUGGAUCAGUUAAAUGGCAAAAAGGAGCUAAGGUGGCCUAUGGAUCGCAAAGAGCUUGGUUAAUGAAUGCCACUUUAAAGGAUAAUAUCGUGUUUGGUUCUCCUUACGAUGAUUAUAAGUAUCGGAAAGUUAUUGAGUGCUCUGCCUUGAAACAGGAUAUUGAUAUAUUACCUGCAGGAGAUCAAACUGAAAUUGGUGAAAGAGGUAUAAACUUGAGUGGAGGGCAAAAACAACGAAUCAGUAUUGCCAGAACUUUAUAUUCAAACUCUGAUAUAAUUCUCUUUGAUGAUCCUAUGUCGGCAUUGGAUGUUCAUGUUGGAAGGCAUAUAUUUGACGAAGCGAUUUAUAAAUAUCUUAUAAAGGAAUUGGGUCGAACUGUUAUUCUGAUUACUCAUCAAAUGCAAUAUCUACCGAAGGCGGAUAACAUUAUUGGUAUGAGUAAAGGAAAAAUUAUUGCUAAGGGAACUUAUGAGGAUUUGAGUGAAAACCACCCAGAAUUGAUUGCAUCAUGGGAAAAAGGAUCGUCUGAAAAAGAAGAAAAAAAGUCUCUCGAAAAACGUCGUUCAUUAACAGGUUCCGAAACCGAUCUAGUUUGGAGCAGUAAAUUCGCCCAGAGUAUUUCUCGCUCAGGAAGUAUUGCUACUCUUCAUUUAGUUGGAAAUGAUCUUGAUAAUUCGGAGGACGUUGAAACAACACGAAAACAGAAGACUAUUAUUGAUGAGAAAAAAACUGAUGAUGAAGCUGGAAAAUUGAUUAAUGAAGAAGAGAGAGAAGAAGGAGCAGUAUCUCUAAAUGUUUAUAAACAAUUCUUUUUAGCUGCUGGCAUUCCUGCAUCAAUUGGAACAUUCAUGGCUUACUUUAUUAGGCAAGCCCUAAGAAUUGGUUCUGAUUAUUGGUUGGCUCAUUGGACGGAAGCAUCGAAAGAAGUUCCUCAUCUUCAUAAUAUAACUUUAGACGAAUAUCAUCAUAAAUCUGUCUCAAAUCUGAUGUUGGUUUAUGGUUUGAUAUGCUCUGGAUUUGUUCUUUUCUGUAUGGUCUGUGGAUUUACUAUUGAAUUUUCAUGCUUGAAAGCUGCUAAAUUUCUACAUUCGUCUAUGCUUUGGAGAAUUGUUGAUGCUCCCAUGCGUUUCUUCGAUACAACACCUUUGGGCAGAAUCGUAAACAGGUUUACAGGUGAUACAAUGGUUGUUGAUGAACGACUUGCGCAAAUUUUGGAUGCCUUUCUUUACUGUACUUUCUUUUCAAUUGGUGGUCUGGUAGUUAUCGCUUCUUCAAGUUUUUACUUUCUGAUAGCCGUCGUACCGCUUGCCGCUGUAUAUAUAGCUGUCCAACGUUUUUAUAUUGCAUCUUGCCGAGAUUUACAGAGACUUGAUAGUCUUAGUAAAUCUCCCGUAUUAUCCCACUUCAGUGAAACUAUCGGUGGCCUAGCUACUAUUAGGGCAUAUGAUAGACAAGAAGCGUUUUUGGAAAAGAAUUUCGAAGUAGUUGACAAUAAUAACAAAGCAUUCCUUAACUUACAAACUGCAAUUUUAUGGAUGGGAAUCAGAUUGGACUUUGUCGGAUCAUUCACUGUAUUUGCAGCAACUGUAUGUAGUUUGGUUUCAGCUUUAAAUGGAGGAAUUACGGAAGGUGUCGUUGGUUUAUGUAUAACGUAUUCUUUGAUGAUUUCUGCAAACUUGAAUUGGAUGAUGAAAGCGAUGUCAGAAACUGAAAUGUAUUUCAACGCGGUCGAAAGAAUUUGUCAUUACACAACAAUUAAAAAUGAAAAUUUUGAAGAUGGAGAAGCUCCAAGAGAUUCUUGGCCAGAAAAGGGUGUCAUUGCUCUGAACGAUUUAUCUCUAAGAUAUGAUGAGAGUCUAAACAACGUUGUAAAGAGUCUUAAUCUGAACAUUAGCGGCGGAGAUAAGGUUGGAAUUUGUGGUAGAACUGGCAGUGGAAAAUCUUCACUUAUGUUGGGACUAUUCCGAUUGAUAGAUACAUCAAAUGGAAAAACAGAAAUCGAUGGACUUGAUAUCAGCAGAGUUCCAUUAAGACAAUUAAGAUCUAGACUAGCUAUUAUUCCACAAGACCCUGUAUUGUUCGCAGGUACAGUGAGGUUUAAUCUAGAUCCAGCCCACAAGUAUACAGAUCAGGCUAUUUGGAAGGCUUUGGAAAUUUCUCAAUUAUCACCAACUAUUCAAAAAGAAGGUCAAGGCUUAGAAUUAGCUGUUUCAGAAGGAGGCGAAAAUUUCAGUUUAGGUCAACGACAGUUAUUCUGUUUGGCUCGGGCUUUAUUACGUAAUUCUAACAUCUUAAUUAUGGAUGAAGCUACUGCAUCAGUUGAUAUGGUUACAGAUAGAAUUGUUCAAGAAGUUAUCAAGCAUCAUUUCAAAGAUAGGACAGUUUUAACAAUCGCCCAUAGAGUGGCAUCAAUUCUAAACUAUGAUACCAUAGUCGUUUUACAAAACGGCGAUGUUAUUGAGACUGGUUCACCCGAUGAUUUAAAAACUAGGGAAGGAGGCAUCUUUGCAGGCAUGAUCCGAGAUAAUCUGUAA